UACGGAGGGUGCAAACGUUGCUCGGAAUCACUGGGCGUAAAGCGCACGUAGGCGGAUUGUUAAGUCAGGGGUGAAAUCCUGGAGCUCAACUCCAGAACUGCCUUUGAUACUGGCGAUCUUGAGUCCGGGAGAGGUGAGUGGAACUGCGAGUGUAGAGGUGAAAUUCGUAGAUAUUCGCAAGAACACCAGUGGCGAAGGCGGCUCACUGGCCCGGUACUGACGCUGAGGUGCGAAAGCGUGGGGAGCAAACAGG
rnacentral:rRNA from 1 species